rnacentral:rRNA from 1 species
CUCCUACGGGAGGCAGCAGUAAGGAAUAUUGGUCAAUGGAGGCAACUCUGAACCAGCCAUGCCGCGUGGAGGAUGAAGGUCCCUGGAUUGUAAACUUCUUUUAUAUGGGACGAAAAAAGGCUUUUCUAAGUCGUCUGACGGUACCAUAUAAAUAAGCACCGGCUAACUCCGUGCCAGCGCCGCGGUAA